AUUGAACGCUGGCGGCAGGCCUAACACAUGCAAGUCGAGCGAGCGGCGGACGGGAGAGUAAUGGAUGGGUACUGCCCGACGGAGAGGGAUAACUACGGGAAACGGUGGCUAAUACCGCAUACUGUCGCAAAACCCAUAUGGGAUUAGCUAGUAGGUAAGGUAAUGGCUUACCUAGGCUACGAUCCCUAGCUGGUCUGAGAGGAUGAUCAGCAACACUGGGACUUAUACACGGCCCAGACUCCUACGGAGGCAGCAGUGGGGAAUAUUGCACAUUGGGCGCAAGCCUGAUGCAGCCAUGCCGCGUGUAUGAAGAAGGCCCUAGGUUUGUAAAGUACUUUCAGUCGGGAGGCGUUACCGACAGAAGAAGCACCGGCUAACUCCGUGCCAGCCGCCGCGGUAAUAC
rnacentral:rRNA from 1 species